UGGGGAAUUUUGGACAAUGGGGGAAACCCUGAUCCAGCCAUCCCGCGUGUGCGAUGAAGGCCUUCGGGUUGUAAAGCACUUUUGGCAGGAAAGAAACGUCGCGGGUUAAUACCCCGCGAAACUGACGGUACCUGCAGAAUAAGCACCGGCUAACUACGUGCCAGCAGCCGCGGUAAUACGUAGGGUGCAAGCGUUAAUCGGAAUUACUGGGCGUAAAGCGUGCGCAGGCGGUUCGGAAAGAAAGAUGUGAAAUCCCAGAGCUUAACUUUGGAACUGCAUUUUUAACUACCGGGCUAGAGUGUGUCAGAGGGAGGUGGAAUUCCGCGUGUAGCAGUGAAAUGCGUAGAUAUGCGGAGGAACACCGAUGGCGAAGGCAGCCUCCUGGGAUAACACUGACGCUCAUGCACGAAAGCGUGGGGAGCAAACAGGAUUAGAUACCCUGGUAGUCCACGCCCUAAACGAUGUCAACUAGCUGUUGGGGCCUUCGGGCCUUGGUAGCGCAGCUAACGCGUGAAGUUGACCGCCUGGGGAGUACGGUCGCAAGAUUAAAACUUAAAUGAAUUGACGGGGGUCAUAGCGU
rnacentral:rRNA from 1 species